rnacentral:rRNA from 1 species
GAUGAACGCUGGCGGCGUGCCUAAUACAUGCAAGUAGAACGCUGAAGGAAGGAGCUUGCUCUUUCCGGAUGAGUUGCGAACGGGUGAGUAACGCGUAGGUAACCUGCCUGGUAGCGGGGGAUAACUAUUGGAAACGAUAGCUAAUACCGCAUAACAGUAGAUGUUGCAUGAUAUCUACUUAAAAGGUGCAAUUGCACCACUACCAGAUGGACCUGCGUUGUAUUAGCUAGAUGGUGAGGUAACGGCUCACCAAGGCGACGAUACAUAGCCGACCUGAGAGGGUGAUCGGCCACACUGGGACUGAGACACGGCCCAGACUCCUACGGGAGGCAGCAGUAGGGAAUCUUCGGCAAUGGACGGAAGUCUGACCGAGCAACGCCGCGUGAGUGAAGAAGGUUUUCGGAUCGUAAAGCUCUGUUGUAAGAGAAGAACGAGUGUGAGAGUGGAAAGUUCACACUGUGACGGUAUCUUACCAGAAAGGGACGGCUAACUACGUG